GCCUCCCCUUCCCGUCCGGCCCGACUACAGACUCCUACGGAGGGCAGCAGUAAGGAAUAUUGGUCGAUGGGCGCAAGCCUGAACCAGCCAUGCCGCGUGCAGGAAGACGGCCCUACGGGUUGUAAACUGCUUUUGCAGGGGAAUAAACCCCCGUUCGUGAACGGGGUUGAAUGUACUCUGAGAAUAAGGAUCGGGCUAAACUCCCGUGGCCCAGCCCGCCGCGGUAAUAC
rnacentral:rRNA from 1 species